rnacentral:rRNA from 1 species
GACGAACGCUGGCGGCGUGCUUAACACAAGCAAGUCGAGCGGAGCGGCGAACGGGGGAGUAACGGGUGAGUAACUGCCCCCCUCUCUGGGAUAACAGUUGGAAACGGCUGCUAAUACCGGAUAGUGGGGGAUGACUCGCGUCCUAUCGGAUUGUUGGGGGGGUAGUGGCCUACCAAGGCGACGACGGGUAGCCGGCCUGAGAGGGGAACCGGCCACAUGGGGCUGGGCUACGGCCCAAACUCCUACGGGAGGCAGCAGUGGGGAAUAUUGCACACUGGGGGAAACCCUGAUGCAGCAACGCCGCGUGCGGAAUGCCGGCCUUCGGGUUGUAAACCGCUUUCAGCCAGGACGCGGUAGUGGCAGAAGAAGCACCGGCUAACUACGUGCCAGCAGCCGCGGUAAUAC